AAAGGGGACUUCGGUCCUGAGUAAAGUGGCGCACGGGUGAGUAACGCGUAGAUAACCUGUCUUCAUGUCUGGAAUAAUACGCCGAAAGGGGUACUAAUACCGGAUAUUCUUGCUUUUCAUAAGUUAUGCAAGCAAAGGUGGCCUCUGCAUAUGCUACUGCAUGAAGAGGGGUCUGCGUACCAUUAGCUAGUAGGUGGGGUAAUGGCCUACCUAGGCGACGAUGGUUAGCGGGUCUGAGAGGAUGAUCCGCCACACUGGCACUGGAACACGGGCCAGACUCCUACGGGAGGCAGCAGUGAGGAAUAUUGCGCAAUGGGGGAAACCCUGACGCAGCGACGCCGCGUGAGUUGAGGAAGGCCUUCGGGUCGUAAAGCUCUGUCAAGAGGAAAGAAGUGUACAAUGGCUAAUACCUGUUGUAUUUGACGGUACCUCUAAAGGAAGCACCGGCUAACUCCGUGCCAGCCGCCGC
rnacentral:rRNA from 1 species